GUGCCAGCAGCCGCGGUAAUACGUAGCGUACGAGCGUUGUCCGGAAUUAUUGGGCGUAAAGAGCUCGUAGGUGGUUGGUCACGUCUGCUGUGGAAACGCAACGCUUAACGUUGCGCGUGCAGUGGGUACGGGCUGACUAGAGUGCAGUAGGGGAGUCUGGAAUUCCUGGUGUAGCGGUGAAAUGCGCAGAUAUCAGGAGGAACACCGGUGGCGAAGGCGGGACUCUGGGCUGUAACUGACACUGAGGAGCGAAAGCAUGGGGAGCGAACAGGAUUAGAUACCCUGGUAGUCCAUGCCGUAAACGUUGGGCACUAGAUGUGGGGGACAUUCCACGUUCUCCGCGCCGUACUAACGCAUUAAGUGCCCCGCCUGGGGAGUACGGUCGCAAGGCUAAAACUCAAAGGAAUUGACGGGGGCCCGCACAAGCGGCGGAGCAUGCGGAUUAAUUCGAUGCAACGCGAAGAACCUUACCAAGGCUUGACAUACACUGGAUCGUUCUGGAAGCAGUUCUUCUCUUUGGAGCUGGUGUACAGGUGGUGCAUGGUUGUCGUCAGCUCGUGUCGUGAGAUGUUGGGUUAAGUCCCGCAACGAGCGCAGCCCUCGUUCUAUGUUGCCAGCACGUGAUGGUGGGAACUCAUAGGAGACUGCCGGGGUCAACUCGGAGGAAGGUGGGGAUGACGUCAAAUCAUCAUGCCCUUUAUGUCUUGGGCUUCACGCAUGCUACAAUGGCUGGUACAGAGAGAGGCGAACCCGUGAGGUAAGCGAAUCCCUUAAAGCCAGUCUCAGUUCGAUCGUAGUCUGCAAUUCGACUACGUGAAGUCGGAGUCGCUAGUAAUCGCAGAUCAGCAACGCUGCGGGUGAAUACGUUCCCGGGCCUUGCACACACCGCCCGUC
rnacentral:rRNA from 1 species